rnacentral:rRNA from 1 species
AAAUUGAAGAGUUUGAUCAUGGCUCAGAUUGAACGCUGGCGGCAGGCCUAACACAUGCAAGUCGAACGGUAACAGGAAGCAGCUUGCUGCUUCGCUGACGAGUGGCGGACGGGUGAGUAAUGUCUGGGAAACUGCCUGAUGGAGGGGGAUAACUACUGGAAACGGUAGCUAAUACCGCAUAAUGUCGCAAGACCAAAGAGGGGGCCCUUCGGGCCUCUUGCCAUCGGAUGUGCCCAGAUGGGAUUAGCUUGUUGGUGGGGUAACGGCUCACC